AUGCAAGUCGUGCGAGAAAGUACCUUCGGGUGCGAGUAGAGCGGCGGACGGGUGAGUUACGCGUAGGAAUCUACCUAGUAGAAGGGGAUAGCCCGAGGAAACUUGGAUUAAUACCGUAUACCUCCUUAGGGAGAAAGAGGGCUUAGCUUUGAUGCUCUCGCUAUUAGAUGAGCCUGCGUAAGAUUAGCUUGUUGGUGAGGUAAUGGCUCACCAAGGCGACGAUCUUUAGCUGGUCUGAGAGGACGAUCAGCCACAUUGGGACUGAGACACGGCCCAGACUCCUACGGGAGGCAGCAGUGGGGAAUAUUGGACAAUGGGCGCAAGCCUGAUCCAGCCAUACCGCGUGUGUGAAGAAGGCUUUCGGGUUGUAAAGCACUUUAAGUAAGGAGGAAAAGAUUGUGAGUUAUACCUGCAAUCCGUGACGUUACUUACAGAAUAAGGACCGGCUAAUUCCGUGCCAGCAGCCGCGGUAAUACGGAAGGUCCAAGCGUUAAUCGGAAUUACUGGGCGUAAAGCGCGCGUAGGUNGUUUUUUAAGUUGGAUGUGAAAGCCCUGGGCUCA
rnacentral:rRNA from 1 species